rnacentral:rRNA from 1 species
UAGGGAAUCUUCCGCAAUGGACGAAAGUCUGACGGAGCAACGCCGCGUGAGUGAUGAAGGCUUUCGGGUCGUAAAACUCUGUUGUUAGGGAAGAACAAGUGCGAGAGUAACUGCUCGUACCUUGACGGUACCUAACCAGAAAGCCACGGCUAACUACGUGCCAGCAGCCGCGGUAAUACGUAGGUGGCAAGCGUUAUCCGGAAUUAUUGGGCGUAAAGCGCGCGCAGGCGGUUUCUUAAGUCUGAUGUGAAAGCCCACGGCUCAACCGUGGAGGGUCAUUGGAAACUGGGGAACUUGAGUGCAGAAGAGAAAAGCGGAAUUCCACGUGUAGCGGUGAAAUGCGUAGAGAUGUGGAGGAACACCAGUGGCGAAGGCGGCUUUUUGGUCUGUAACUGACGCUGAGGCGCGAAAGCGUGGGGAGCAAACA